rnacentral:rRNA from 1 species
ACGAACGCUAGCGGUGUGGCUUAGGCAUGCAAGUCGUGCGCGAAAGUCUUCGGACGAGUAAAGCGGCGAAAGGGUGAGUAACACGUAACCAAUCUACCCCUGAGACUGGAAUAACCACUGGAAACGGUGGGUAAUGCCAGAUGGUCCAGCUGAAAGGCAUCUAUUGGCUGGUAAACGGUGGCGCAAGCUGCUGCUCGGGGAGGAGGUUGCGGACUAUCAGCUAGUUGGUGAGGGUAACGGCCCACCAAGGCUAUGACGGUUACCGGGUCUGAGAGGACGGUCCGGCACACUGGGACUGAGACACUGCCCAGACUCCUACGGGAGGCUGCAGUCGAGAAUCUUCCGCAAUGGGCGAAAGCCUGACCCAGCAACGCCGCGUGAAGGAUGAAGUAUUUCGGUAUGUAAACUUCGAAAGAAUAGGAAGAAUUAAUGACGGUACUAUUUAUAAGGUCCGGCUAACUACGUGCCAGCAGCCGCGGUAAUACGUAGGGACCAAGCGUUGUUCGGAUUUACUGGGCGUAAAGGGCGCGUAGGCGGCAUGACAAGUCACUUGUGAAAUCUUCGGGCUUAACCCGGAACGGCCAAGUGAUACUGUCGCGCUAGAGUGCGGAAGGGGCAAUCGGAAUUCUCGGUGUAGCGGUGAAAUGCGUAGAUAUCGAGAGGAACACCUGAGGUGAAGACGGGUUGCUGGGCCGACACUGACGCUGAGUGCGCGAAAGCCAGGGGAGCAAACGGGAUUAGAUACCCCGGUAGUCCACGCCGUAAACGAUGAGUGCUUGGUGUAGCGGGUAUCGACCCCUGCUGUGCCGAAGUCAACACAUUAAGCACUCCGCCUGGGGAGUACGGUCGCAAGGCUGAAACUCAAAGGAAUUGACGGGGGCCCGCACAAGCGGUGGAGCAUGUGGUUUAACUCGAAGCAACGCGAAGAACCUUACCUGGGUUUGAAGUGCAGUGGAAAGCCUCAGAGAUGAGGUCCCCUCUUCGGAGGCCGCUGUAUAGGUGCUGCAUGGCUGUCGUCAGCUCGUGUCGUGAGAUGUUGGGUUAAGUCCCGCAACGAGCGCAACCCUUGUCCAUAGUUACUAACGGGUAGUGCCGAGAACUCUAUGGAGACUGCCGGUGAUAAACCGGAGGAAGGUGGGGAUGACGUCAAGUCCUCAUGGCCUUUAUGUCCAGGGCUACACACGUGCUACAAUGGACGGCACAAAGAGUCGCAAAACCGCGAGGUUGAGCUAAUCUCAAAAAACCGUUCUCAGUUCGGAUUGCACUCUGCAACUCGAGUGCAUGAAGCUGGAAUCGCUAGUAAUCGCGGAUCAGCACGCCGCGGUGAAUACGUUCCCGGGCCUUGUACACACCGCCCGUCACAUCACGAAAGUCGGUUGCACUAGAAGUCGGUGGGCUAACCCGCAAGGGAGGCAGCCGCCUAAAGUGUGAUCGGUAAUUGGGGUG